UUGGCGGUGUUUUAUUCUAUUUAGAGGAAUUUGUCACUUAAUCGAUAGUCCUCGUUUUAUCUUUCUUUAUUUUGUUUAACAGUUUGUAUAUCGCCGUUAUAAGUUUAUUUUUAUAGAAUAUUUACAUAAUAAUAAUUAUUUAUAAUUUCAGGUCAAGGUGCAGCUUAUAAUUAAGUGUUGAUGAAUUACAUUAUUUUAAUAUGUGGAUAUUUUCUGAAAUUGUUUUAUUGAAAGUGGAUUUAAUAGUAAUUUUAUAUAUUAUGUUAUUUUGAUUUUAGCUCUAAAAUAAGUACACAUCGCCCGUCGCUCU
rnacentral:rRNA from 1 species